UCUAAAAUUGUCAAAACACUUAUUUCAAAUUAUUAUUUUUUCUGUUCUGACAGUGUCAUUUGCUGUGACAAUGACAGUGGCAUUAUCGCUUGCCGGCAGAUUUUAUGCAGUUUUGAUUUUUUGUCAUAAAUUUAUUAACAAUUUAGCAACUAUACCAUUUUAGUGGUGGUGCUGGUGCCUUAGUAAAUCCUAACGACACAGGGCCAUAUCUUUUAUCAUCGGAUUUAAAAUGCUCUUCAGUUUUGACGAGAAACAUCGAUAUGCAAAAUGGUUUCGCAGAAAAUAUAUUCCUGGGCCUUCUGACUUACUUAUCGCUUGGAACCGAAAGGCAAAAAUUUCUUCUAGAUAGUAACGAUGUGGACCCCGGAUUAGGCGUUGCAUAACAUGCAUAACAUCAUAAUGAACGAAAUAAGAACAUUUGAAAAUAAAAACUAAAACCAUU